rnacentral:rRNA from 1 species
CCUACGGGAGGCAGCAGUGAGGAAUAUUGGUCAAUGGACGAAAGUCUGAACCAGCCAAGUAGCGUGAAGGAUGAAUGCUCUAUGGGUUGUAAACUUCUUUUAUAUGGGAAUAAAAUGUUGCCCGUGUGGGAUUUUGUAUGUACCAUAUGAAUAAGGAUCGGCUAACUCCGUGCCAGCAGCCGCGGUAAUACGGAGGAUCCGAGCGUUAUCCGGAUUUAUUGGGUUUAAAGGGAGCGUAGGUGGGUUUUUAAGUCAGUUGUGAAAGUUUGCGGCUCAACCGUAAAAGUGCAGUUGAAACUGGCAGUCGUGAGUACAGUAGAGGUGGGCGGAAGUCGUGGGGUAGCGGUGAAAUGCUUAGAGAUCACGAAGAACCCCGAUUGCGAAGGCAGCUCACUGAACUGCAACUGACACUGAGGCUCGAAAGUGUGGGUAUCAAACAGGAUUAGAUACCCGAGUAGUC